rnacentral:rRNA from 1 species
GACGAACGCUGGCGGCGUGCCUAACACAUGCAAGUCGAACGGAAAGGCCCUGCUUUUGUGGGGUGCUCGAGUGGCGAACGGGUGAGUAACACGUGAGUAACCUGCCCUUGACUUUGGGAUAACUUCAGGAAACUGGGGCUAAUACCGGAUAGGAGCUCCUGCUGCAUGGUGGGGGUUGGAAAGUGUCGGCGGUUGGGGAUGGACUCGCGGCUUAUCAGCUUGUUGGUGGGGUAGUGGCUUACCAAGGCUUUGACGGGUAGCCGGCCUGAGAGGGUGGCCGGCCACAUUGCGACUGCGAUACGGCCCAGACUCCUACGGGAGGCAGCAGUGGGGAAUAUUGCACAAUGGGCGGAAGCCUGAUGCAGCAACGCCGCGUGCGGGAUGACGGCCUUCGGGUUGUAAACCGCUUUCGCCUGUGACGAAGCGUGAGUGACGGUAAUGGGUAAAGAAGCACCGGCUAACUACGUG